GCCUCCGUGGAGCACGGUAGCUCGCUCCCGCUGGGUAAAGGACGAAGGUAAUUAUCGGGGAGAGCCGGCGGUUCGACCCCGCCCGGAGGCA